GAAAUGGCUUACUUCUGUAAUCGA
rnacentral:siRNA from 1 species